GCUAUUGAGCGAAAAAUAAGGUAAAGGAUACUAUAAUCUCUAUCUGUAAGAAAAAGUUUUGACAUACAAAUCUGUUGCAAAUUAUUGAGGGGUAAAGCUUAGUUUCAUAUAUGAAGCUAUGGGGGGGAGUUAUUAAGUAGAGAUUAAGACAAGACUGACAUCACAUAGAAUCAAUUUGGUUUCAUGUCCAUGAAAGCUAAAUAUUUCUUACAAUGAUUGAUGGAAAAUUCUUCGAAGAAAACACAUACUAGUAAGCUAUAGUCCAUAGAAAGGUUUCGUGGAAGGCUCUCAAGACUAAAGGAGUUUGUAGUGUGUACAUUCUAGUGAUCAAAGAUUCGGGGUCAUGAACUAGCAUAUGACAUGCAACUUAAUAAUUUUAGCAUUUGUCAAAUGAAUUAUUUUUUUUUUUUGAGAAGGAGGAAUAAAUAAGGAAGGAUUGUAUAAUUAUUUUGGAUUACUUAGUUAAUAAAAAUAAUAGAAAUUUUUAACCUAGGGUCACUCAACUCAACCACCCUUAUUGAACCCACAAACAUCAAAGCCUGCAAGAACGCGGAAUGUCUUUCUUCAGUGCCUUCCCG
rnacentral:lncRNA from 1 species